rnacentral:lncRNA from 1 species
AGGAGUAGCAGUUUCCAGCAUAGAAUAAAAUAUUAUGAAGUGAAGGACCAAAGCAAUAGUAAAGAAAACGCGAUCGAUGGAGUCACUGAUUCACGUCGACAUAUACAUUAUAUCGUACACAAUUUUGGAAAUGAAGAGAUUAAAAGGCGCACAUCACACUGGACGUUGAUCGAAGAUUAACUCGAAGCAAGCAUUCUGGCUUCAGUCAGGUGAACGAUCAGACAUUAAUCAACUGCCCGGUUAGUUAUGUUUGGAAUGACCCAUACCAGGACUACGUCCAGGGUUCGUAGGUCGAAAGGAAUCCACUUUUCCCUCUAGAAAUCUGAAUCCAGGCCCCUGCCCCGCAACAGGUUUCUUGGCCUCUACCAAAUCAACUAUUUUCGCUGCGUGGCCCGCUCGAUGCGUACGAGAUGUACAUUGCGAGCUCCUUGCCUCCCCUAGAUUCCUACCAUGGCCGCGAAGUGCUUCUUGGCUCGAAAUGGUUAGUAGGAAGAUAAGCAAACGGGUAAAGAAGCUGGCCAUCGGCGAAUAAUGAGCACAAGUGUAUCUUAAUUUCAAUCCCCAAGUUUAAAAUGAGGAGGGAGGAAAAAUGAUAGCAAGAAAGUUGGUAGCAAAACGAAGCCGAGGGAAUGGUGGC